rnacentral:rRNA from 1 species
ACGCUCGACACCUACUGGAGGCAGCAGUGGGGAAUAUUGCACAAUGGGGGAAACCCUGAUGCAGCGACGCCGCGUGAAGGAAGAAGUAUCUCGGUAUGUAAACUUCUAUCAGCAGGGAAGAAAAUGACGGUACCUGACUAAGAAGCCCCGGCUAACUACGUGCAGCAGCCGCGGUAAUCUGAGCGGGCUGGCAAGGC